CCUACGGGAGGCAGCAGUGAGGAAUAUUGGUCAAUGGACGAGAGUCUGAACCAGUCAAGUAGCGUGAAGGAUGACUGCCCUAUGGGUUGUAAACUUCUUUUAUAUGGGAAUAAAAUGUUCCACGUGUGGGAUUUUGUAUGUACCAUAUGAAUAAGGAUCGGCUAACUCCGUGCCAGCAGCCGCGGUAAUACGGAGGAUCCGAGCGUUAUCCGGAUUUAUUGGGUUUAAAGGGAAAGUAGGUGGAUUGUUAAGUCAGUUGUGAAAGUUUGCGGCUCAACCGUAAAAUUGCAGUUGAAACUGGCAGUCUUGAGUACAGUAGAGGUGGGCGGAAUUCGUGGUGUAGCGGUGAAAUGCUUAGAUAUCACGAAGAACUCCGAUUGCGAAGGCAGUUCACUGGACUGCAACUGACACUGAGGCUCGAAAGUGUGGGUAUCAAACAGGAUUAGAUACCCCUGUAGUC
rnacentral:rRNA from 1 species